rnacentral:rRNA from 1 species
UACGUAGGGUGCGAGCGUUAAUCGGAAUUACUGGGCGUAAAGCGUGCGCAGGCGGUUUUGUAAGCCAGAUGUGAAAUCCCCGGGCUCAACCUGGGAACUGCAUUUGUGACUGCAUCGCUGGAGUGCGGCAGAGGGGGAUGGAAUUCUGCGUGUAGCAGUGAAAUGCGUAGAUAUGCGGAGGAACACCGAUGGCGAAGGCAAUCCCCUGGGCCUGCACUGACGCUCAUGCACGAAAGCGUGGGGAGCAAACAGG